AUCUUCUCCUAUAACUCAAAAAAAUAUAUAAAAAGUCAAACGUGAUAAUCCAAAUUGCAAUAAGUGUUCAUUCGAAUUUUCAAAUUGAAUAUAUCAAACCAAUAAAAAGAAUAAAAAUAAAAAUAAAAUAAACUAUAUUUAUACAAUCGGUAAAAAAAAGUUGUAAGUUACGAACAAAAGAUAAUGUGUAGUAAGUGCAGCGAAUGUUGUCAAGGAUCUAGGCACAGUGUGGACGUAAGCCCUGCCUCGGGAUCAGAUUCGGAAACUUCAGGUAAAGAAUUCGAGUUUCAAUCAGCACCCCUUACUUCUCUUCUAUCCUUUCUUGCAAAAAGAAAAAAAGCAAAUUACAAACAAUUAUAUCCC
rnacentral:lncRNA from 1 species